rnacentral:lncRNA from 1 species
GUGGUUUCCAGAUCUGAUGAAUUACCUGACUGCCAACGCCAAACUUGGGUUUUCCUCUCUGCAGGAUGGAGAGGUUGGAAGGUUUGAGAAUGGGAAGAGAUGAAGCGGGAGGAAGAGUCAGACAGCCGUGACCUGCCACAACUGUGGCUCCUCUUCAUAGGCAACCAGGAGCUGAGAAGACCUCAUUCAUGCUGAGAUAGUCCUGUCUUCAAGAGAAAAGAGCCUUGUCUUACUGUGUUGACCAGCCUGGAGUGCAGUGGUGUGAUCAUGGCUCACUGCAGCCUCGAACUCCUGGGUUCAAGUGAUUUUUCCUGCCUUAACUUCUCUAGUACUUGGGACUACAGGCAUGUGUCACCAACCUGGCUAAUAUUUGUAUUUAUUUUGUAGAGACAAAGUUUUGCUAUGUUGACCAGGCUGGUCUCAAACUCCUGACCUCAAGUGAUUUUCCUGCUUGGCCACCCAAAGUGCUGGGAUUAUAGGCGUGAGCCACUAUGCCUGGCCAGUUAUGAAUUCUUUAUGUGCAUUUUGAGGACUCAUUUGAAUCCAGGCUCAUGUACCACCUAAGACAGAUUGCUAAAAUACCUUCCAUUCCAUAAGUAAAUUUUGCAUACUUAUUGAAUUAUUUGAAAA